GUUGGAGGGGGAUAAUCGGGAGAAAUCCCGUCUAAUACCGCGUAACGCCGCGGGGCUGCAUGGCCCUGCGGCCAAAGGAAGCGAUUCCGGCAACGGAUGGGCAUGCGUGACAUUAGCUAGUUGGCGGGGCAACGGCCCACCAAGGCGACGAUGUCUAGGGGUUCUGAGAGGAAGGUCCCCCACACUGGUACUGAGACACGGACCAGACUCCUACGGGAGGCAGCAGUGAGGAAUAUUGGUCAAUGGGCGCGAGCCUGAACCAGCCAAGUCGCGUGAGGGAUGACGGCCCUACGGGUUGUAAACCUCUUUUGUCGGGGAGCAAAUUCCGCCACGUGUGGCGGAGUCGAGAGUACCCGAAGAAAAAGCAUCGGCUAACUCCGUGCCAGCAGCCGCGGUAAUACGGAGGAUGCGAGCGUUAUCCGGAUUUAUUGGGUUUAAAGGGUGCGUAGGCGGACUGUCAAGUCAGCGGUAAAAUACGGGGGCUCAACCUCCGCCCGCCGUUGAAACUGACGGUCUUGAGUGGGCGAGAAGUAUGCGGAAUGCGUGGUGUAGCGGUGAAAUGCAUAGAUAUCACGCAGAACUCCGAUUGCGAAGGCAGCAUACCGGCGCCCAACUGACGCUGAAGCACGAAAGCGUGGGUAUCGAACAGGAUUAGAUACCCUGGUAGUCCACGCAGUAAACGAUGAAUA
rnacentral:rRNA from 1 species